GAUGAAGAACGCAGCGAAAUGCGAUAAGUAAUGUGAAUUGCAGAAUUCAGUGAAUCAUCGAAUCCUUGAACGCACAUUGCGCCCCUUGGUAUUCCGAGGGGCAUGCCUGUUCGAGCGUCAUUAUAACCCCUCAAGCUCAGCUUGGUGUUGGGGCCUGCUGCACUGGCAGCCCUUAAAAUCAGUGGCGGCGCCAUCUGGCUCUAAGCGUAGUAAUUCUUCUCGCUAUGGAGUCCUGGUGGAUGCUUGCCAUCAACCCCCAAUUUUUCUAUGGUUGACCUCGGAUCAGGUAGGGAUACCCGCUGAACUUAAGCAUAUCAAUAAGCGGAGGA
rnacentral:misc_RNA from 1 species